CCCUGGACCGGGAACACAGUCAUGCCUAACGGGUGGGGCGGACAGACGUCACACACCGGGUACCCUGACCAACCCAACAAGUACGCAACCAUACAAAAUCCGACAUGGUGGGCUGGGAGCUGGCACGCCCCACCCAGCACUAAUAUGCCAUGACUGCACCACGCCCGACCACUAGAUUGGUCCAUUAGCUAGGGGACACCUUCCCAACUUGACAAAAUGGAGAGAAUUUCCGCCACGACUCCGACCUGACCCCCGACCUAUGCUGACCAAACACCCUUCAACUAUAUAAGUAGCUUACACUUUUGCAUAAAUGCGAGAUAACAUGAAACAAGGAGAGCGUUCCACCAGGAAGGCAGCCCACAACUAAAAGCCUUCUCCCACAAGGGCUUUAAUGUAGGGCAUGUUACAGUUGGCUAAAAGUUAUUAGUUACCCUUACUCUCUAACUAAGGUGACUGAUAAGAGCCUAGAGACGGGAUGUAAUGUAUGCGGCCAUAUCUGAUCUGUAUAACCCCGAAUGUUAUCCUUUUUUCC